GCCCCCAGCAAGUACAAGUAUUGAGGGUAAUGCCUGCCCAGUGACACUGUUAAACGGCCGCGGUAUCCUAACCGUGCAAAGGUAGCGUAAUCACUUGUCUUUUAAAUAAAGACUAGAAUGAACGGCCAAACGAGGCUCUACCUGUCUCUUACAAAUAAUCAGUGAAAUUGAUCUUCCUGUGCAAAAGCAGGAAUAACCAUAUAAGACGAGAAGACCCUGUGGAACUUCAAAUAUAAAAUCAACUAUAAUUGACACCCACCCAACAGGCCUAUUACUUAAUAGUAUUUGAUUCUUAUUUUCGGUUGGGGCGACCUCGGAGAAAAACAAAACCUCCGAAAAAUAAAAAACUUUUUUAAACCUAGAGCAACAACUCAAAGUGCUCUCGGCAAAACGAUCCAAUAUAAUUGAUCAACGAACCAAGCUACCCCAGGGAUAACAGCGCAAUCCCAUUCUAGAGUCCCUAUCGACGAUGGGGUUUACGACCUCGAUGUUGGAUCAGGACAUCCUGAUGGUGUAGCCGCUAUCAAGGGUUCGUUUGUUCAACGAUUAACAGUCCUACGUGA
rnacentral:rRNA from 1 species